rnacentral:misc_RNA from 1 species
AAAAAGAAUUACGAAACUGUUCAACGUUGAAAAUUCAGUCUCUAUCAGACGUGCAGAUUGCAACCUAGAUUAUUUCUAGCUCUUGGAUAAGACUUUAUAAUCGGCAUAAUAAGACUAAUGGGACUUCAGAAUAUUGUAACUUAAACAAUGAUGUCAGUGCUCUGUGGCAUUAUGUUUGCCAGUGGGGCAUUCUUUGUAAUCUUUAGCAUCAUCAAUGUGUCCUGAGUCAAUACCCACCGUCUCCAUUGUGUCUCGUUGUCCUUCCAACGCUAUGGAGUGGAAAUCGGCAGCGGAGAAGAAAAAGUGUAAUUUCCUCGGGAAGAUUCAGAAUUGUACAGAGGCUGAGAACUUCGUGUACCACUGUGUUCUUAAUGAAGACACAACAGAGUUGUUGGAACUUUGUGCACCUGUAUGGUUUAUGGCAGGAUAUUGUGCCCGUUUUAGUGAAGUAAACAAAAGAAUCAUUAAUGACCCUGGUUUGGAGUGUACAAAGUUUGAUCCUCCAUGUCCAUCAAGGUUCCCAUCCAAUGAGUCUUACAAGUACCAGACAUGUUACAAUACAAGAAUAACUAAUAAAACACCUGUUUUCCAACAAAGAAUGAGUGCGGAUUACAAUACCUCUGUGCCAUCUGCAUUUGCUAUUUGUUUUGGUAUAAUAUUGGUCUUGCUGAUCUUGUUCUUUGUCGUCGGGAUCAAGUUGAAAUGGAUAAAGUUUACAAUACUGUGUUUGCAAAAGAACGACAUUGAAAAACAAAUUGAAGACCAGAAUGAAACAGUAGAAACACCGUUGUUGGAAGCAAACGAAGAAAAGAAUGAAGGAGGUGAAAAAACGGCGAAAGCGGAAAACAUGUGUCCCCAAAAAGUAGAGGAUAGCAGACAAUUUGGAAUUCGUAGUUUGUCCGGGGAUGUUGACGAGAAUUGUUAUCUUAGGACGUCAAAACUAUCGGCGAUCUACGAGACUUACUCUCUGCAAAGAUUAAAAAACCAAGAGAUAUACUACUUAUCGUCGAUAGAGAAAAGGGGAUAAUUUUCAACGAUGACACUGAAAUUGAAACCCUUAACGCGACACCCAAUGAAAUGAUGAUAGGAAACGAAAACAGGAUGACGGCGACAGGAGAGGAUGACGAAACUCCGGUUGAUGACGUUAUAUCCAACAAACGUUUAACUGUCGGAAAAUGUAAAAUGUGGUGUGGACAUUGGACAGCUCCGAAUUCACUUUUUGAUUGGACAAAAGAGAAAUUGCCUGGUGCCUUAACUGAAGGUCUCCCAUGCCCAAAGUGUAGUAAGAUUUGGAAUAUAGACGACCUGAUAGAAAAAUGCAAAAUGUCUCCAGAUGAACGACUUUUCUUUAAAUCAGUUGAAACUAUUAUUAAACGUAAUGUUGAACUUGCAAAGUAGAAAAUAUUGUACAUUCUUGUUUAGCAAUGUUGAUAUCAUAGCGUUACAUGUAUAUUGUAUAAACAUUGUUUGCCUAUGCUUUUUUUUUAAAAAGAUAAAACAUGUACAUAUAUGGAUAUGGGGGUUUUGUGUGUAAUAAAACAAAAUUAGU